AACGUAGGUUCCGAGCGUUAUCCGGAUUUACUGGGCGUAAAGCGUGUUCAGGCGGCAUCUCAAGUCGGGCAUGAAAUCUCUCGGCUCAACCGGGAGAGGCUGUCCGAAACUGAGGGGCUAGAGGGCAGGAGAGGGUGGUGGAAUUCCGGGUGUAGUGGUGAAAUGCGUAGAGAUCCGGAGGAACACCAGUGGCGUAAGCGGCCACCUGGCCUGUACCUGACGCUCAAACACGAAAGCUAGGGGAGCGAACGGGAUUAGAUACCCCCGUAGUCC
rnacentral:rRNA from 1 species